GACAUCUAAAAUACAUGGCAUGGAAGAUUAAGCCUUUGACUUUUAUAAGUAUUACAUGUAUGAAUACAUACAAAAGAUAUAGAUUGUGAGAGAGAAAUUCAUGAUCAAUAAGGAAGGCUUCAGCGUAUAAGUGGAGAUCUUGCAUAUAGAGGAAAGUUAAGCACAGAAGAAUGGAUUUUUCAAUGUCCACUGCAGAGGCUGAUGAUGCCGUUCCAUUUCCAGAAUGGAAAUCUGCCCCUCAACAAGCUAACCUUGCAUCUCAAAUGAAACCUUGAAAGAAGAACUGGUGUAAACAAAUAUGGGGAAGGAAAAAAAAAAGAAGGAAAAACUACCAAGAUAAACUGAGAUUUUUUUACAAAAUAAUUUUAUGGAAAUUUGUUACUCAUUUCUCAAAGAAAAUAUAGAAAUAUUAAUUAUGAUGGCUAAUUCAUGAAAAGCUGACAAAACCGCUCAGUCUUAUAGCAGAAGAACUCCAACUACUGCUGUUUUAGUUGCUUCUAGUUUGUUGCAAAUACUGCCCUAUUUCAUCAAGCCAUGUGGAGUGUAUCAUUAGAUGCAGAAACACUUCUGUUCAGAGACUUUUCUUAUGCAAUACCAGAUUUGUCUGUGUGUUUUCCUAUUUGUGGAACUAUAAAUUGUGUCCUCAGAAUGACCAUUUACACUUUGAUGCAUACUAAUCAAUGUAAACAUGUAAUUUUAUAAUUAAUUCUGAACUAAUUAACGGUAAUUAGGUAUGUCUGUCAAAAAUAUCAGCAGUCAUUUAGAAUGUAUUACUUGUCAGUCAAAUAUGUUUUAAAUAAUUUUUAAUACAAAUUCUGGCUCCAGUUAACAGAACAGUAGAAGCUUUCUACCAUUUUCAUGGAUGUUAUUCUAAUAUGCAAGGAAGGGACUAUAUGCAUAUUUAUGUAAGAAUAUUUCCAACUGUGUUUCUAAUAUUAUAGCAGCUCGAAUAAAGAAAAGUACAUUAUCCUCAUGUAGCUAAAUCAUAAAGAGUUGAACUAGAAAUAUAGUAGCCAGUGAGGGAAACAGAGAUAUCACCCACUUUAUUAAUGCCUAAAUCAGAAUUAGAAAAGAGAAUGUCAUUUUCCCUUCUUUUUUACAACUCUUAAUGAUACUACUGGUUCUGUGUCUCAUAAAUCAUUGGCUAAUAGUAUCUAAAAAUUAGACUUUUUGUAGCUGGUAUAAAUUUUCAGGUCCAAAGUGAGCAAUGGAGUUGUAUGUGGGUUGGGUUUCAAAGCAUAUUUUUCCAAACUAUUAUAGAUAUCAGGUUCAGAAUUUGAUCCAUUCCAUACUGAAGUUUGAGAUGAAGCUCCAUUAGAAUUAUGAAUAAAUGAGAAAUACAUCAGGAAAUGACUAAGCAUGUACGGUUAUUCUAGAUUUGUACUGGUUCUUGUAUUCCUGCAUAGAUAGAUACUGUCAGCUAAUAUUCUGACUACACAUCAAUAAUAUAACAAAUAAAUAAAUACAAUCAACUUUUUUGAAGAAAGGAAUUCUAAGGAAGUGAAUACAUUUCCAAGGAGCAGUAGCACAGAUAUGGGACAGGAGGCCAUAGAAACCUUUCUAGCAUGAAGUGACUUAAUGACAGUCACCCACCAUUCCCUUUCAUUGAUUUCUUUCAAUAAGAUUCUGUGAACAAAGAAGAGAUUAAGAAGCAGUUCCUGGGUCCAGAAUCCAUGCUCUAAAUGGGAUAGAAAUGGAAUGGGUUGAAGAUGAGUCAAAUUUAAGGUAAAAACAUUGCUAUUUCAUGGUUGCAACAGCAAAUUUUGCAUAGUUACAAACACUUAAGUGUAGAGCUGGUAAAAUCAAAAGAAGUAAAUCCCAAGAAACAGAUUAAGUCUCUCACCAUAUUGGGCUUUUUGAAAGUGAACCUAUGGCCAACUCUGUAGGUAAGACCACAUUUUAUUCUCCAGCACCAGCAAAUUAUUUUGUACUUGAGAAUGCACUUUUCUCAGGAUGUCUCCCCUCCCAUAUUCAUUUCAGCAUUUUUUAUGAAAUGAGAAUUAUCUGGUUGCUGACCGUUAAGUCAUUAAUGAACAUUAGGUUAGUAGAUAAAUCAGGAAGACAAUCCCCUUUCAGAGAAGAUAAAACAGUGACUUCACGGGUAAACAGAUUUUCAAGGCUUCUUCCUAAGAUCAUGACAGGGUGAUAUUACCUGUCAAAGUAGAAUUAUGAUUUUUUUGUCUGUUUUUUAUUAUCUUUUCCUGUAAAAAGGGAAUCUCUUGGGUUAUGGUUCUGUCUCUGAGGAGACUACAACACUCUAGAGAUUUAGAUGGAGUUAAAUGUUUUGUUGCUAGGUUUAUCAUAAACCACAAGAGCAAAUCCUCUAAUUUCAACGCUGAUGUGAAAUGUCAGUGCUUCUCUUCAGGAAUCUGUUAUCAGAAACAUGUCCAUAAAAAUGUGAAAUCAGAUCCUGAAAGCUGAACAUUACCUUGGAAUAUAAUUGGAAAAAACUGUAGAGAUUCUGGGAGAAAGAUAUUUUCAGAAGUAAAAAAUACAUUUUAUUGAAACAUUUAAAUAUUUUUUGCUGCAGAUUCAUGCUAAAAGACGGACUCUUUGAAAGGACAUUCUUA